rnacentral:rRNA from 1 species
UACGUAGGGUCCGAGCGUUAAUCGGAUUUACUGGGCGUAAAGCGUGCGCAGGCGGCCCGUUAAGACAGGUGUGAAAUCCCUGGGCUCAACCUAGGAAUUGCGCUUGUGACUGGCGGGCUCGAGUACGGUAGAGGGGGGUGGAAUUCCUGGUGUAGCAGUGAAAUGCGUAGAGAUCAGGAGGAACACCGAUGGCGAAGGCAGCCCCCUGGGCCUGUACUGACGCUCAUGCACGAAAGCGUGGGGAGCAAACAGG